rnacentral:misc_RNA from 1 species
UUAAGUUCAGGGGGUAUCCCUACCUGAUCUGAGGUCAAGCUGUAAAAUAAAUCGUUCAGUUGGCAGACAUCUAUACAGUUGCUUUAAUGAGAAAUUGCUUACUACGUCUUACAAGCUGAAAUAGUAUCGCCAAUAGCUUAAAGGAGAGAGGUAAUACCACUUCUCCCAAUACCAAACCAAGGUUUGAUUGAUUUAUUGAC